GACGAACGCUGGCGGCGUGCUUAACACAUGCAAGUCGAACGGAAAGGCCCUGCCUUUGUGGGGUGAUCGAGUGGCGAACGAGUGAGUAACACGUGAGUAACCUGCCCUUGACUUUGGGAUAACUGCAGGAAACUGGGGCUAAUGCCGGAACGGCGCUCCUGCGGGAUGGUGGGGGUGGGAUAGUUUCGGCGGGUGGGGUUGGGCUCGCGGCUUAUAAGCUUGUUGGUGGGGUAGUGGCUUACCAAGGCUUUGACGGGUAGCCGGCCGGGGAGGGUGACCGGCCACAUUGGGACUGGGAUACGGCCCAGACUCCUACGGGAGGCAGCAGUGGGGAAUAUUGCACAAUGGGCGGAAGCCUGAUGAAGCAACGCCGCGUGCGGGAUGACGGCCUUCGGGUUGUAAACCGCUUUCGCCUGUGACGAAGCGUGAGUGACGGUAAUGGGUAAAGAAGCACCGGCUAACUACGUG
rnacentral:rRNA from 1 species